AUGAAGUCACUCUUAAGAUAAUGAGAACAUUUGCUAUAUUAAGACCAUGCAUGUGUCCCUAGAUGUAGUUCUUUACCUAAGUCUGGUUUUAUAAAUGCUAGUGAUAAAC